rnacentral:rRNA from 14 species
GACGGAAAGACCCCGUGAACCUUUACUAUAGCUUCACAGUGAACUUUGAGCAUGUUUGUGUAGGAUAGCUGGGAGGCUUUGAAGCGUGAUCGCCAGAUUGCGUGGAGCCAAUCUUGAAAUACCAGCCUGAUAAUAUUGAGGUUCUAACUCAGGUCCCUCAUCGGGAUCGAGGACACUGUGUGGUGGGUAGUUUGACUGGGGUGGUCGCCUCCAAAAGAGUAACGGAGGCUCCUAAAGGUACCCUCAGCACGGUUGGUAAUCGUGCGUAGAGUG